GACGAACGCUGGCGGCGUGCUUAACACAUGCAAGUCGAACGAUGAGGCCGGAGCUUGCUCCGGUGGAUUAGUGGCGAACGGGUGAGUAACACGUGAGCAAUCUGCCCUUGACUCAGGAAUAACUGCUAGAAAUGGUAGCUAAUACCGGAUACGACCCUCGGAGGCAUCUCCAGGGGGUGGAAAGAAUUUCGGUCAAGGAUGGACUCGCGGCCUAUCAGCUAGUUGGUGAGGUAACGGCUCACCAAGGCGACGACGGGUAGCCGGCCUGAGAGGGUGACCGGCCACGCUGGGACUGAGACACGGCCCAGACUCCUACGGGAGGCAGCAGUGGGGAAUAUUGCACAAUGGGCGCAAGCCUGAUGCAGCAACGCCGCGUGAGGGAUGACGGCCUUCGGGUUGUAAACCUCUUUUAGUAGGGAAGAAGCGAAAGUGACGGUACCUGCAGAAAAAGCACCGGCUAACUACGUGCCAGCAGCCGCCGUAA
rnacentral:rRNA from 1 species